rnacentral:rRNA from 1 species
AUUCCAGCUCCAAUAGUGUAUAUUAAAGUUGUUGCAGUUAAAAAGCUCGUAGUUGGAUUUCUGGCGGGAGCGAUCGGUCCUUCACUCAGUGUUGGAACCUGAUUGUCUCCUGCCAUCCAUGGAGAAAACUUAUCUGGCAUUAAGUUGUCGGGUAGGCAAUCUCCAUCUUUUACUGUGAAAAAAUUAGAGUGUUCAAAGCAGGCUUAUGCCGUUGAAUAUAUUAGCAUGGAAUAAUAAGAUAGGACUUUGAGUCUAUUUUGUUGGUUUGCGAGUCAAAGUAAUGAUUAAUAGGGACAGUUGGGGGUAUUCGUAUUUCAUUGUCAGAGGUGAAAUUCUUGGAUUUCUGAAAGACGAACUACUGCGAAAGCAUUUACCAAGGACGUUUUCAUUG